UACAGAGGUCUCAAGCGUUGUUCGGAUUCAUUGGGCGUAAAGGGUGCGUAGGCGGCGUGGUAAGUCGGGUGUGAAAUCUCGGAGCUUAACUCCGAAACUGCAUUCGAUACUGCCGUGCUUGAGGACUGGAGAGGAGACUGGAAUUUACGGUGUAGCGGUGAAAUGCGUAGAUAUCGUAAGGAAGGCCAGUGGCGAAGGCGGGUCUCUGGACAGUUCCUGACGCUGAGGAGCGAAAGCGUGGGGAGCGAACAGG
rnacentral:rRNA from 1 species